CAAUAGCGUAUAUUUAAGUUGUUGCAGUUAAAAAGCUCGUAGUCGGAUUUUGGCUGAGAACGAUCGGUCCGCCGUUAGGUGUGCACUGAUUGGUCUCAGCUUCCUGGUGAGGAGGUGUGCUUCACGGCCACUUAGUCACCGUGGUUACUUUGAAAAAAUUAGAGUGUUCAAAGCGGGCUUACGCUUGAAUAUAUUAGCAUGGAAUAACACCAUAGGACUCCUGUCCUAUUUCGUUGGUCUCGGGACGGGAGUAAUGAUUAAGAGGAACAGUUGGGGGCAUUCGUAUUUCAUUGUCAGAGGUGAAAUUCUUGGAUUUAUGAAAGACGAACUUCUGCGAAAGCAUUUGCCAAGAAUGUUUUCAUUAA
rnacentral:rRNA from 1 species